rnacentral:lncRNA from 1 species
CAGCAUCGCACGAAAGGGGCUAUUUUGAGCCUCCCCUUUGAGCCCUGUUCCAAGGCCGAAUCCUUCAGGCCCGAAGUCUGAAGGAAAAGAGAGACCCAUGCCCUCCCUCGGUCCGAUCUCUGCGGCCAUAAAGGGCUUCCGGCGAGGGUAUCAGUAAGGCGAUUCUGGGUAAGUCUCUCCUCUCCCUCUCCUUUAUUGUUUUCUUUUUAUUUAACAAAUUCGUAAAACAAAAUAAAAAUAAAAUAAAAAAUAAAAAACGACGAGUAAAAAUCGAAAAAAAUCAACCUCUGUUGUUCUUAUUUCCGAUAUUCUAAGAUAUGUCCCCCUAAAAAUACAUGCCUCUGUUCGGGAUUUAUGAAAAAAAUACAAAAUGCUCUUCUCUCCUCUUCUCUCUG